GGGCGGGGCUGCGGGGUUCGGGUUUCCCAGCCGCGUUAUCUGAGGACCGGCUGCUGGGAUUUGAUCGGGGCCAGUUCGAGAGAGCGGCCGACGCCGUCUUUGCCCCAGAACAGACUCGUCUUUGAGCUCUGCCGCCGCCCGGGCUGGGCACGGAAGAAAGAAAACAAACUCCGCGCUGUGUGCGGUUCUCCGGAAUCUCUCCUGGCCCCGGAGCGGGAGAAGCGGAGCGGCCUUGAGUUCGGCCCCGGCGCCCUCUGCAGGCGGCAAACGGCGGCCACGCUGAGCCGGGCCCAGGCUGGAAAUUAGGUUUCCCCCAGGAAGAGCAUCAUCUGCAAACUGAGGGAUUUCCUACACACAAUAACACGGGUGCAUUGUGGUGUCAUCUUCAACGUGAGGCGAUCAACAACAACAAAAGUAAUGGUCAGGAAAAGCCAAUUCCCUAAGUAUCAGGACAGAAGGAAGAAUCAUCCACUCCCGUACAUCUCUCUAAGGCCUGGGAACAGGGCACUCUGAGAAUGUUUGUCCCAGUUUAUCAAUGGAAAAAACUGAUCUGCUAUCACAGACUUUUUCAAGAAAAGUAAUAGCUUCUGCCCGCAGUACAAUCACCACCUUCCUUUACACAUCGUUAACAAUUGUAAAUAUGAAAACCUGGGUUCUCUCCUUUGUCCUGGGUAAAUCAGAAAGAUGCUAUCUUGAGCAAAGACCAACUUACUACCAAGAGGCUUUCUGGGUAUGGAAACAAUUAUUUUGUCCCAAAUGCAAUUUGCCUAAAAACGGAUAAAGUUUUAUUGUCAUC